UGCAUAUUAGGAUUUUAUUUCUAUUGUAAAUAGCCUCCCUUGGCUAUUAGGAUUUUAGACUCCUAUUAGGAUUAGGAUUAUUUUUGCAUAUUAGGAUUUUUCUAUUAUAAAUAGCCUCCCUUGGCUAUUAGGAACUCACUUUCCAAUUUUUAAGAAAUUUCAAUAAGACUUUUCGUCUUUUAGCCUAUCUUUUCUCUUAUUUCGUCUUAACCAAACGAUAUUGGUUACAACUCCUGACGGAGUCUAAAUAGUCCUGUAUCAUAUUGGUAUCAGAGCGAAGUUCAACCAUGGCAGAUAACCAAGAGGCGCGACUUGCUGCGAUUGAGGCAUCCUUGGCAGAAUUGAGGGAGAUGAUCAGACAGCUGACCUUGCAGCAGGGAAUCCACCAACCCGCCGCC
rnacentral:lncRNA from 1 species